rnacentral:lncRNA from 1 species
CACCACUAUCCGAAGGCUUACAGAGGGUUUAUCCAUAAACAGUGGAAUCCCUUAACAUCCGAGAAGAAUGAGGAGCUCAUUUUAGGGUAAGGUGAGGUGGCGAGCUCGUGACCCAGCACCCACUGGUCCCGGACAUGUCUCAGCACCCAUCUGGGAGAAUGACAGGCCACACUGUGGCUGUUCCCGCUGAGGGACCACCACCAAGAUGACGCUCCGCGAGCAAAGGUCACUGUCCUUCACAUGGCCAUCUACGUGCUCAUGACGCUGUGCAGGGCACAGCUCACAGCCUCCGUUCUGUGCUUUGACCUUGAGCACGGACUGGAAACCAAGAGAUAGAAGUACGGAUGGCUCGGCUUGUCAUCACUGCCCAGGAUUAACUUUGGGAAUUUGAAUUUCCUGUCCCCACAGCUCUGGGCGCCAUGGAGUUAAAGCACUUGUUCACAAAGACGGAAUGUGUCCAACAAAGCACUCGGUACAACUCCCACUGAACGGUGAAUGUGCAGAAAGCUGUGCCAUGAGCCUGCCGGCGAGGCCCUGAAGGGGUGAACAAGACAGAGCUGCUCCCACGGAGGGGUCUGAGGGCCCGCUUGAGGGAGGUGGAUAGAAACUUGGAGAGAGACAUUUUUUGAGGGAUUGGAUGAUAAUAAACAACAAAAGAAAAAAAUUGAAUGCAAACUUUGGUGCUGUUGGAGACAAACCUUCAACCAGACUCCCGCUCUGCGAGGGCCGGAAGAUGACCCAGCCACUGUCCUUUGCAGGAAUAGCGCAGGAACACUGGAGAGCAAGCCAGAGAAGGCAGAAGCAAAGGGCAUGACUUGGCUCUAAUACCCAGAAUUCAAUCUGCGCACAGAUACUCAGGUGGAUGCAUUUAUGAGGCUUUUUAAAGAUCACCGUUGAUGCCAAGAACCGAGGCCAAGGAGCGAUGUAUGGACUAAAGUGAGGCACACUCCAGAGCUACAGGGUCGGGAGUCCCAUAGCUCCACUGCAGCUCAUGUCACACUGGAACUGUUAGCCAUUCAUCUGGAUAAAGCAGAUGUUCAGUAUUUCCAUUAUUUGGGAAGAGGAAUACUCUCAUAAAUCAUCUAAUCUCCUUUCUUUCAUUUAGGCCUAGAUUGGUGUAUAUAUGGAUAAACUGAUGUCUUUUGUUUGCUUAAAGAUUCCUAGGCAUUGGUUUCCCUGAUUGUUGUAUUCUAGCAAAGUAGUGGGAACCCGCACACUGGUCAUACAGUCAUUUCUGUGCAUAAAUACGAUGCCACAGGCCCACCACAGUCAAAAUCAUG